AAAGAUUAAGCCAUGCAUGUCUAAGUAUAAGCAAUUAUACCGCGAAACUGCGAAUGUCUCAUUAUAUAAGUUAUCGUUUAUUUGAUAGCACAUUUACCUACUUGGAUAACCGUGGUAAUUCUAGAGCUAAUACAUGCUAAAAAUCCCGACUUCGGAAGGGAUGUAUUUAUUAGAUUAAAAGCCAACGCCCUUCGGGGCUUCUUGGUGAUUCAUGAUAACUGGUCGAAUCGCAUGGCCUUGCGCCGGCGAUGGUUCAUUCAAAUUUCUUCCCUAUCAACUUUCGAUGCGAAGGUCUUGUCUUCGCAUGGUUG
rnacentral:rRNA from 1 species